rnacentral:rRNA from 1 species
UACGGAGGAUCCAAGCGUUAUCCGGAAUUACUGGGCGUAAAGAGUUGCGUAGGUGGCAUUUUAAGUUGGUAGUGAAAGCGUGCGGCUCAACCGCAUACACAUUACCAAAACUGCAAAGCUAGAGGACGAGAGAGGUUAUUAGAAUUCCUAGUGUAGCGGUGGAAUGCGUAGAUAUUAGGAGGAAUACCGAUGGCGUAGGCAGAUAACUGGCUCGUUCCUGACACUAAGGCACGAAAGCGUGGGGAGCAAACGGG